rnacentral:rRNA from 1 species
GUAGGGUGCGAGCGUUAAUCGGAAUUACUGGGCGUAAAGCGUGCGCAGGCGGUUUUGUAAGACAGGCGUGAAAUCCCCGGGCUCAACCUGGGAACUGCGCUUGUGACUGCAAGGCUAGAGUACGGCAGAGGGGGGUGGAAUUCCACGUGUAGCAGUGAAAUGCGUAGAGAUGUGGAGGAACACCAAUGGCGAAGGCAGCCCCCUGGGUCGAUACUGACGCUCAUGCACGAAAGCGUGGGUAGCAAACAGGAUUAGAUACCCUGGUAGUCCACGCCCUAAACGAUGUCAACUAGGUGUUGGGUGGGUAAAACCAUUUAGUACCGGAGCUAACGCGUGAAGUUGACCGCCUGGGGAGUACGGCCGCAAGGUUA